GCAAAUGGUUAAUGCAUUUGGCUGCUAACCAAAAGGUUGAUGGUUUGAAUCCACC
rnacentral:tRNA from 1 species